rnacentral:misc_RNA from 1 species
GAUUAAGAACGCAGCGAAAUGCGAUAAGUAAUGUGAAUUGCAGAAUUCAGUGAAUCAUCGAAUCUUUGAACGCACCUUGCACCCUUUGGCAUUCCGAAGGGUAUGCUCGUUUGAGUGUCAUUGUACUCUCACACUUCUGAUCCUUUGGAUUGGGAGCGGUGGACUUGGGUGUUGCUGCUUUACUGUGGCUCACCUCAAAUGCAUUCGUGCAACUCUUGGUUGGACAUAGUACGGCGUGAUAAGUAUCUUCGCCGGCACCUCGCAAGAGGGUGGCUGAUCAGGAGCUCUGUGCUUUCCAACUGUCUUCAGACAACAACUGACAACUUAACCUCAAAUCGAGUAGGACCACCCGCUGAACUUAAGCAUAUCAAUAAGCGGAGGA